rnacentral:rRNA from 1 species
CAAGUCGAACGAGAAAGUGGAGCAAUCCAUGAGUAAAGUGGCGCACGGGUGAGUAACACGUGACUAACCUACCCUGGAGUGGGGGAUAACUGAGGGAAACCUUAGCUAAUACCGCAUAACACCUACGGGUCAAAGGAGCAAUCCGCUUCAGGAGGGGGUCGCGGCCGAUUAGUUAGUUGGCAGGGUAAUGGCCUACCAAGACGAUGAUCGGUAUCCGGCCUGAGAGGGCGCACGGACACACUGGAACUGAAACACGGUCCAGACUCCUACGGGAGGCAGCAGUGGGGAAUUUUGCGCAAUGGGGGAAACCCUGACGCAGCAACGCCGCGUGGAGGAUGAAGUCCUUCGGGACGUAAACUCCUUUCGAUCGGGACGAUUAUGACGGUACCGGAAGAAGAAGCCCCGGCUAACUUCGUGCCAGCAGCCGCGGUAAUACGAGGGGGGCGAGCGUUGUUCGGAAUUAUUGGGCGUAAAGGGUGCGUAGGCGGUUUGGUAAGUCUUAUGUGAAAUCUACAGGCUCAACUUGUAGUCUGCAUGAGAAACUGCCGGGCUUGAGUAUGGGAGAGGUGAGUGGAAUUCCUGGUGUAGCGGUGAAAUGCGUAGAUAUCAGGAGGAACACCUGUGGCGAAAGCGGCUCACUGGACCAUAACUGACGCUGAUGCACGAAAGCUAGGGGAGCAAACAGGAUUAGAUACCCUGGUUAGUCCUAGCCCUAAACGAUGACUGCUUGGUGUGACGGGUACCCAAUCCCGCCGUGCCGUAGCUAACGCGUUAGCAGUCCGCCUGGGGAGUACGGUCGC